rnacentral:rRNA from 1 species
CAAUAGCGUAUAUUAAAGUUGUUGCGGUUAAAAAGCUCGUAGUUGGAUUUCUGCUUGGGACAACCGGUCCGCCCUCUGGGUGAGUAUCUGGCUUGGCCCGGGCAUCUUCUUGGGGAACGUUACUGCACUUGACUGUGUGGUGCGGAGCCCAGGACCUUUACUUUGAGGAAAUUAGAGUGUUUCAAGCAGGCAUUUGCCUUGAAUACAUUAGCAUGGAAUAAUAAGAUAGGACCUCGGUUCUAUUUUGUUGGUUUCUAGAGCUGAGGUAAUGAUUAAUAGGGAUAGUUGGGGGCAUUCGUAUUUAACUGUCAGAGGUGAAAUUCUUGGAUUAGUUAAAGACGGACUACUGCGAAAGCAUUUGCCAAGGAUGUUUUCAUUGA